rnacentral:piRNA from 1 species
UAGUAAUUUUUCCUAUGCUCC